GAUGAACGCUGGCGGCGUGCCUAAUACAUGCAAGUCGAACGGACAGGCCCGGCGCUUGCGGGGUUCUCGAGUGGCGAAGGGGGGAGUAACACAUGUGUAUCCUGCCCUUGUCUGUGGGAGAACAUUUGGAAACUGGGGCUAAUAUCGGGUAGGAGAUCUUGAUGCAUGGGGGGCGAUGGAAAGUGUCGGCUGUUGGGGCUGGAAGAGCGGGUUAUCAGCUGGUUGGUGUGGUAGUGGCUGACCAGGGCUUUGAAGGGUAGCCGGCCUGGGAGGGUGAACGGCGACAAUGGGCCUGAGGGAGGGACCAGACUCCUACGUGAGGCAGCAGUGGGGAGUCUGACGCAAUGGGCGGAAGCCUGAUACAGAGGCGCUGCGUGCGUAAUGACGGCCUUCGGGGUGUAAACCGCUUUCGCCUGUGACGAAGCGUGAGUGACGGUAAUGGGUAAAGAAGCACCGGCUAACUACGUG
rnacentral:rRNA from 1 species